rnacentral:lncRNA from 1 species
GCAGAAAGAUGUCUUGAAGUGAAGAGUAAGAGCCUGGUCUUUAAUAAACGUCACACAAUUAGGACUGGGAGCAGGUCGCUCUUUGGAAUGGCCCUAACGUGAAGGUGGAGCUUACAGGUCCUGGCUGCCAUGUGCAAAUUGUUACCAAUGUUUGCCCAUUAAGGUUCAGCUCUUGACAAGUCCUGUGGAAGGUGGUGAGACAGCAAGAGCAGAUUUCUUCUGGGUGUUCAUGCUGAAAACAUCUUGUGUGAGGAGGAAUCCAAUAAAACGUGCAUUAGCUUGGGGACGAGUGGUUGUAAAGACUACGUGUCUGCGAUAUGUUAAGAAACUGUAACAGUUACACAGUUCUGAUCACACAUAUAUUAAAAUUAUCU